GUGGGGAAUUUUGGACAAUGGGCGCAAGCCUGAUCCAGCCAUGCCGCGUGCAGGAUGAAGGCCUUCGGGUUGUAAACUGCUUUUGUACGGAACGAAAAGACUCUGGUUAAUACCUGGGGUCCAUGACGGUACCGUAAGAAUAAGCACCGGCUAACUACUUGCCAGCAGCCGCGGUAAUACGUAGGGUGCAAGCGUUAAUCGGAAUUACUGGGCGUAAAGCGUGCGCAGGCGGUGAUGUAAGACAGAUGUGAAAUCCCCGGGCUCAACCUGGGAACUGCAUUUGUGACUGCAUUGCUGGAGUGCGGCAGAGAGGGAUGGAAUUCCGCGUGUAGCAGUGAAAUGCGUAGAUAUGCGGAGGAACACCGAUGGCGAAGGCAAGCCCCUGGGCCUGCACUGACGCUCAUGCACGAAAGCGUGGGGAGCAAACAGGAUUAGAAACCCCGGUAGUCC
rnacentral:rRNA from 1 species